rnacentral:rRNA from 1 species
CCUACGGGAGGCAGCAGUGAGGAAUAUUGGUCAAUGGGCGCGAGCCUGAACCAGCCAAGUAGCGUGCAGGAUGACUGCCCUACGGGUUGUAAACUUCUUUUAUACAGGAAUAAACUGAGGCACGUGUGCCUUUUUGUAUGUACUUUAUGAAUAAGGAUCGGCUAACUCCGUGCCAUCAGCCGCGGUAAUACGGAGGAUUCGAGCGUUCUCCGGAGUUAUUGGGUUUAAAGGGAGCGUAGAUGGGUGGUUCAGUCAGUUGUGAAAGUUUGCGGCUCAACCGUGAAAUUGCAUUUGAUACUGGCAGCCUUGAGUACAGUUGAGGUAGGCGGAAUGCGUGGUGUAGCGGUGAAAUGCUUAGAUAUCACGAAGAACUCCGAUUGCGAAGGCAGCUUACUAAACUGCCACUGACAUUGAUGCUCGAAAGUGUGGGUAUCAAACAGGAUUAGAUACCCGAGUAGUC